UACGAAGGGCGCGAGCGUUGUUCGGAUUUACUGGGCGUAAAGGGCGCGCAGGCGGCCAUCCAAGUCAGGCGUGAAAGCCCCGGGCUUAACCUGGGAGGUGCGUCUGGGACUGGGUGGCUAGAGUUCGGGAGAGGAGAGUGGAAUUCCCAGUGUAGAGGUGAAAUUCGUAGAUAUUGGGAAGAACACCGGUGGCGAAGGCGGCUCUCUGGACCGAGACUGACGCUGAGGCGCGAAAGCGUGGGGAGCAAACAGG
rnacentral:rRNA from 1 species